GUGCUCGCUUCGGCAGCACAUAUACUAAAAUUGGAACGAUACAGAGAAGAUUAGCAUGGCCCCUGCGCAAGGAUGAGCAAAAGGCAAGGGAAGCAAGGGAAAAAAUG